rnacentral:miRNA from 1 species
GAGGAUGACCAGCACUCACGGAUUUCCAAGAAGUAAUUAAAAAGUUAUAAAUUUAUUAAUCCAUCUCUUAAAAAGCUGCUUCAACGUUUCAGUCCACGUCUGGGACUUUCAUCAGAUUCCUUCUUGGAAAUCCGUGAGUGCUGGUCAUCCUCUCUAUUG